AAAAAAGACAAUUAAGUAUGAUUCAUUAAGGAUCAAGAUGAAGGAGAAAUGAAUGUAACAAAGACAAUGAAGUUGUGAAUACAACAAGGAGGAACAGCGAGUUUUCCGAUUUCAUUAGUUGACGACAACAGUCAAUUAGUGAACUGCUAUUUUCCGAAUAAAUAAAACCAUUAUUUUAAUAUUCAAUACCCAGUGUAUGUUAUCCAACAUCGCAGAAUCUUUCAAGCAAUGCACUUGCUCAUUCAAUUCGUCAGGAAAUAAAUAAUGCAAUAAAAAGUACAUUGUGAUAUAC